rnacentral:misc_RNA from 1 species
UCUCGGCUUAUCACCGGCAGUCCCCCUAGAGUGCCCAACUGAAUGAUGGCAACUAAGGGCGAGGGUUGCGCUCGUUGCGGGACUUAACCCAACAUCUCACGACACGAGCUGACGACAGCCAUGCGGCACCUGUGUUCCGAUUCCCUUUCGGGCACGCCCACCUCUCAGCAGGCUUCCGGACAUGUCAAGGGUAGGUAAGGUUGUUCGCGUUGCAUCGAAUUAAUCCACAUCAUCCACCGCUUGUGCGGGUCCCCGUCAAUUCCUUUGAGUUUUAGCCUUGCGGCCGUACUCCCCAGGCGGGGCACUUAAUGCGUUAGCUACGGCUCGGAACCCGUUGAUAAGGCCCCACACCUAGUGCCCAACGUUUACGGCGUGGACUAC